rnacentral:rRNA from 1 species
CCUACGGGGGGCUGCAGUGGGGAAUAUUGGACAAUGGGGGCAACCCUGAUCCAGCCAUGCCGCGUGUGUGAAGAAGGCCCUCGGGUUGUAAAGCACUUUCAGUGAGGAAGAACGCCUGGUGGUUAAUACCCAUCAGGAAAGACAUCACUCACAGAAGAAGCACCGGCUAACUCCGUGCCAGCAGCCGCGGUAAUACGGAGGGUGCGAGCGUUAAUCGGAAUUACUGGGCGUAAAGCGCGCGUAGGUGGCUGGAUAAGCCGGUUGUGAAAGCCCCGGGCUCAACCUGGGAACGGCAUCCGGAACUGUCAAGCUAGAGUGCAGGAGAGGAAGGUAGAAUUCCCGGUGUAGCGGUGAAAUGCGUAGAGAUCGGGAGGAAUACCAGUGGCGAAGGCGGCCUUCUGGACUGACACUGACACUGAGGUGCGAAAGCGUGGGUAGCAAACAGGAUUAGAUACCCUAGUAGUC